rnacentral:rRNA from 1 species
GCAAGUCGAGCGGUAACAGAGAGUAGCUUGCUACUUUGCUGACGAGCGGCGGACGGGUGAGUAAUGCUUGGGAACAUGCCUUGAGGUGGGGGACAACAGUUGGAAACGACUGCUAAUACCGCAUAACGUCUACGGACCAAAGGUGGGGAUGCUUCGGCACCACUCGCUCAUUGAUGAGCCCGAGUGAGAUUAGCUAGUUGGUAAGGUAAUGGCUUACCAAGGCGACGAUCUCUAGCUGGUUUGAGAGGAUGAUC